UCUCCAGGCAACCUGUCUCAGCCUGAGUCCUUCAGUCCACCAUCAUCCAUCAGCAACAUUGCCUUUUAUAACAAAACCAACAAUGCACAGAAUGGACAUUUGCUGGAGGACGAUUAUUACAGCCCCCAUGGGAUGCUGGCUAACGGGUCCCGUGGAGACCUCUUGGAAAGAGUCAGCCAGGCCUCCUCUUAUCCUGAUGUGAAGGUGGCACGGACCCUACCAGUGGCUCAGGCAUACCAGGACAACCUGUACAGGCAACUGUCUCGGGACUCUCGACAAGGGCAGACAUCGCCUAUCAAACCAAAGAGACCAUUUGUGGAGUCUAAUGUUUAAGAGACAUUUGUUGGAGUGAGACCCAUAUGUUUUCACUGCACAUUUUCAGGCUUGGUUUCCACAUCUGAGGUAGUUAUCUGGCUUAAUUUCUCAUGUAGUUUCUGUGUGGUGUUCAGAGGUGACAGCCCACAUGUUGAAAUCCCUUGCAUGCAGCUGACUGGGAAGCUGGCCUCUGGUGAGCCAGGACUUCCAUUUCUCAGUUCUGUGCCCCAGCCACAUGCUCUCUCCCUCUCUUCCAACACCAAUGAGGAGAUUUUGUGCCGUGAGCUUUAACAGGGAGAUCAGACACACUGGUCAGCUUUUUCCAGGAGACAAUCGCUUUCACUGGUGUUCUUGUUGUGUGAAUGUCCUUUUCCAUUUUUUAAAAAGUAAGAUGUUCUUGUUUGUUUUCUUCUAGAAACUUUAGGAUGUGUGCGAUGCCUCUCUGUCCUUGCAUUCUUCCUCAGUGUUCCACAUGGCCAGCCCACAGUGCAUCGCUGUGCCAUGGUCUCCUCCCCAGACUCCAGCGCCCUGCAGGUGUCAGGCCUAGAAUCUUCAUUUACUUUAUUACUGGUCCUCCCCCGGUACAAAGGGGUCUAGGGAGAGAAAGAAAAAAAAGAGAGAAAGGAAGGAAGGUAGGUAGGUUGGUUGAUUGAAUAUGCUAAAUUGAUUGAAAGAAAAGCCUACUAUAAUUAUCUGAAAUGUUACUAUGUUGAUUUUCCAAAAAGCAUUUGGGGAACAUUUAACAAACAUCCAGUCCUUUAAAUAAAUUGAUUGGCCAAGGA
rnacentral:lncRNA from 1 species